AUGGGAGUGGCAUGAAACAAAAGUGAAAAACAAAAGCAAAAACUUAACUGUCAAUUUGAAAAAUACAAAAGCUAUUCUCAGGAUUGCUAUUGCAAAGAAGUACAAUCUCAAGAUGAGCCUGGCUUUGAAAGGUAACGCCGCGUCUUACAACACUGAGGCCUGCUGCAAUGGCUCCUCCACCGUCCCCGGCACCUGGGUCAAUGGCGUCGACACCAUCCUCCGCACCAUCUUCAAUGGCAUCGCCUCGAUCCUCAAAGCCUUCUUCUCCGGCAUCGCCUCUGUCCUCGGCUGCCCCGGCGUCACCGAACUAAUUGGCAAAUUCCUUUUACCACUUUGAAAGAAAAGGUCAGAUAAAUCAAGGAGAAGUAGGAAAUGAAAAGGACCAUAAGUACAAUACAACUGACUCAUUCCUUCAUCUCCAAUGAUCUUCAAGACUAUCAACAUUUACAAAGAUCCAAGAUGAACAACACACUUUGCUGAUAAUUUGUGGUUUUGAAAUCAGCCUUAAAAAUAAAAAUUCAAAAAAUGUCA